GUCUGGAAAGGUCGGAUGAGU
rnacentral:miRNA from 1 species